UACGUAGGGGGCGAGCGUUGUCCGGAUUUAUUGGGCGUAAAGCGCGGGCAGGCGGCCCGGUAAGUCGGCCGUGAAAACGCCGGGCUCAACUCGGCGAGGUCGGGCGAUACUGGCGGGCUCGAGGCUGGUAGAGGGCGGUGGAAUUCCGGGUGUAGUGGUGGAAUGCGUAGAGCUCCGGAGGAACACCAGUGGCGAAGGCGGCCGCCUGGGCCAGUCCUGACGCUGAGCCGCGAAAGCGUGGGGAGCGAAUCCGGAUUGAGAAACCCGUGGUAGGUCCAGACCCAAGAUACCCUCUGCCAACCGAUAAUCACCGACGUGCCCCUGAG
rnacentral:rRNA from 1 species